rnacentral:rRNA from 1 species
GCAUGCAAGUCGAAUGAAUCCCAGCCUCUCACCAUGUCCUUGAUUAUCUGGCGAGCCGGGUUGCGUAAGCGCCCGGAGUCAGACAACAAGGCUGUGGUGAGGGGCUGGGGGAAAUGGCGAAAGGGGCAGUAAAGCGUGGAUAACCUACCUCGGGGACGGGGAUAGCCAUUCUAACGAGUGGGUAAUACCCGGCGAUUUGGCGGGAAGGCAUCUUCUUGCCAGGAAAUGAGUUUCGCCUCGAGAGGGGUUCACGUGCUAUUAGCUUGUUGGUGGGGUAACGGCCUACCAAGGCAAAGAUGGCUAGCGGGUGUGAGAGCACGACCCGCGCCACUGGCACUGAGACACUGGCCAGACUCCUACGGGAGGCUGCAGUCGAGGAUCUUCGGCAAUGGGCGCAAGCCUGACCGAGCGACGCCGCGUGGGCGAUGAAGGCCUUCGGGUUGUAAAGCCCUGUCGAGGGGGAGGAAGCCGCAAGGUUGACCUAUCCCUGGAGGAAGCACGGGCUAAGUUCGUGCCAGCAGCCGCGGUAAGACGAACCGUGCAAACGUUGUUCGGAAUCACUGGGCAUAAAGGGCGCGUAGGCGGUCGGUCAAGUCUGGGGUGAAAUCUUUCGGCUCAACCGGAAACGUGCCCCGGAUACGGAUCGGCUGGAGGGAGGUAGGGGUCGACGGAACUUCCGGUGGAGCGGUGAAAUGCGUAGAUAUCGGAAGGAACACCGGUGGCGAAAGCGGUCGACUGGA